rnacentral:rRNA from 1 species
GUGGAUAAUCUUCCUCUAAGUGGGGAAUAACCAGUCGAAAGAUUGGCUAAUACCGCAUAAGACCACAAGCUCUUCGGAGUAAGGGGUUAAAGGCUUCGGCCGCUUGGAGAUGAGUCUGCGCCUGAUUAGCUAGUUGGUGAGGUAACGGCUCACCAAGGCGACGAUCAGUAGCUGGUCUGAGAGGACGGCCAGCCACACUGGGACUGAGACACGGCCCAG